rnacentral:rRNA from 1 species
UACAGAGGUCCCAAGCGUUUGUUCGGAUUCACUGGGCGUAAAGGGUGCGUAGGUGGUGAGGUAAGUCGGAUGUGAAAUCUCCGGGCUCAACCCGGAAUGGCAUUGGAAACUACCUUGCUGGAGGAUUUGAGGGGGGAUUGGAAUACUUGGUGUAGCAGUGAAAUGCGUAGAUAUCAAGUGGAACACCAGUGGCGAAGGCGAAUCCCUGGAAA